rnacentral:lncRNA from 1 species
CGUCAAUCAUAAUAUUUCAUUCAAUUUCAUCGAACCCUUUUUAGUAGCCACUGAGGUACUCAAGUUUGGUAACCCAACAGGACAUUCUGGAAUGUCCCGUUUACUUAUACCAUCCAACUCGUUCGAAUUACCCGUGAUAUGAUUGGUGGUCUCAAUGUCAAUAAUUCAAGAUAUAAUUUCAAUUUUACCUUCUAUCUUAUCAUUUGUACUUAAUUUUUUAGACU